AUGCGGUUCCUCAGGGUGCACCCAGACACAUCGCCAGCUCUGCGUCCCCCCACAGCCCCCCGUCAGCACACCGCCACCAGCACCGACCCCACGGCACUGCGGUGCAGCGCCAUCGCACCCAUGCACUGCACACCAAACCCCUGCAGCCCGGCGUCCUUUGUGCCCUGCAUUCCUGCAGCCCUGCAUCUCUGGAGCCCUGCAUCCCUGCCUGCACUGCAUCCCUGCAAUCCUGGCUGCAUUGCAAUCCUGGCAGCACUUCAUCCUCGGUGCUCCUGCAUCCCUGGCAGCAUUGUGUCCCUGGCAGCUCUGCAUCCCUGCAUCUCUGGCUGCCCUUCAUCCCUGCAUCCCUGCGUCCCUGUUGCCACCGCGUCCCUGGCAGCCCCGCAUCACCACCCCCGCCCCCCCCACAAGGCUGCAGUUGUGCCCACACUGCAGCCUGCAGCACCGCACGCACAGCCGCUGCGUCGCCGCCCUUUAAUGGCUCAGGCCAGGAAGAGCGGCCUGCCGUCCUCCCGCGCCAAUUCCCGCAGGCACUCGAGCAGCACCAGCGCGUCGGCCCUCAGCGUGGGGGGCACCACGGCCAGCAUCGCGUGGCGCAGCAGAGCGGGGCCGGGCGGGGGGCCGGGGGGCUCGGGCAGCUCGCGGAGGAUGCCGUAGGUGUUGACCAAGGACUCCGCCAAGGCGGGGUGCACGGCGGGGUUGUACCCCAGCAGCUUCAGGCGCUCCAUCAGGGUGACGUAGCGGUGGCUCAGCGCGGCGCAGCGCUGCUCAUCGAAGGAGCUGGACGUGGGGUUGAGCACCGACUGCAGGGAUGGGGGCGCGGGGUGGGGGCAGGACGGACAGAGGGACGUCGGUGGAGGGGCCAGACCGGCCCUGUUCCACGAAUCACACGCCAUCUCCAUCCCCAUCCCAUUACAAUCCCAGUCCCAGUCCCGAUCCCAAUCCCCAUCCCCAUUCCCAUCCCAUUCCAAUCCUGUUUCAUGAAUCCCCUCCCCAUCCCAUCCCCAUCCCAUCCCCAUCUCAUCCCCAUCCCCAUCCCCCUCCCAUCCUCAUCCCCAUCCUCAUCCCAUCCCCAUCCAUCCCCAUCCCCAUCCCAUCCCAUCCCAUCCCCAUCC
rnacentral:lncRNA from 1 species